rnacentral:rRNA from 1 species
UACAGAGGGUGCAAGCGUUGUUCGGAAUCAUUGGGCGUAAAGCGCACGUAGGCGGAUUGCUAAGUCAGGGGUGAAAUCCUGGAGCUCAACUCCAGAACUGCCUUUGAUACUGGCGAUCUCGAGUCCGGGAGAGGUGAGUGGAACUGCGAGUGUAGAGGUGAAAUUCGUAGAUAUUCGCAAGAACACCAGUGGCGAAGGCGGCUCACUGGCCCGGUACUGACGCUGAGGUGCGAAAGCGUGGGGAGCAAACAGG